UAUAAUGAAAAUUGUUAUAAGAAACGAUUUAUAGAGGGUAGGUCAUUGGACUUAACUUCUGAUGACAAUGUUAAAGCCAAACCAUUUACUAAAUGUUAUAGUAACAGAUUAUAAAUAAAUUAUAU